UCUCAGGCCUGGCCAGUAAACUUCAGAGGCAGAUCUGUUUGUUUACAGCAGCAGCCCAAGUAGGCGUAAACAGACCACCCUGGGAACAGUGUUGGCAGUAGGUACCCUGAGCUACAUGGCCUCUACUCAAAAGGGUCAACAGAAGCCUGCAAAAUAACAGGUCCAUGAUGGCGGAGAAACUGUCAGAUAUUGUGACUUUCUUGAGAGGUCGAGGUGUCCCGGAGGACACGGUCAAUUUCAUUGAAGAG